rnacentral:lncRNA from 1 species
GAUAAGAUAUAUAACGGCAAUUUACUUAGGCACGUACGAUCUAUGACCACGGUCAUAUCAACCACAAUGAUCCUAUGAGAUAUUCUAUAGCCACAGUAGUAGUUAGCCAAAGGUGACCCCUAAUAGAUAUUAGCUUCAUCACACUCGUCAGAGGGUAUGCCGUCAUCCACAAGGAGCGGUCCUCUCAUGUCUUUUCAUACUAGAUGGGGGAGGGGAAAACAGAAAGCCCUAAGAGAUAAAAAGUCUAAUGAGACACUUAAUGCAUUAUGCAUGUCAAUACAGAUACAUAUAUUUUCAGAUCAUUUGAGGCUCAUUCCCUUCUUUCUUUCUUUUUUAUAUUUUUCAAA